GAUGAACGCUAGCGGCAGGCCUAAUACAUGCAAGCCGAACGGUAAUUCUGGUAGCAAUACUAGAACUAGAGUGGCGUAAGGGUGCGUAACACGUAUGCAAUCUACCCGCAACAGGAGGAUAGCUCCCCGAAAGGGGAAUUAACCCUCCAUGAGAUCACAGGAGGGCAUCCGAGGGUGAUUAAAUCUGAGGAGGUUGUGGAUGAGCAUGCGACUGAUUAGCUAGUUGGCAGUGUAACGGACUACCAAGGCAAUGAUCAGUAGGGGAACUGA
rnacentral:rRNA from 1 species